rnacentral:tRNA from 1 species
AUUGCCUUGCUGUGAGGCCCGCCGGGCUGGCUUGUCGGGUCAGCGCAGGCGCUCGCCGGUCACACCGGCCAGGUGGUCC